rnacentral:rRNA from 1 species
UACGUAGGGUGCGAGCGUUAAUCGGAAUUACUGGGCGUAAAGCGUGCGCAGGCGGCUUUGCAAGACAGAUGUGAAAUCCCCGGGCUCAACCUGGGAACUGCAUUUGUGAAUGCAAGGCUAGAGUACGGCAGAGGGGGAUGGAAUUCCGCGUGUAGCAGUGAAAUGCGUAGAUAUGCGGAGGAACACCAAUGGCGAAGGCAAUCCCCUGGGCCUGUACUGACGCUCAUGCACGAAAGCGUGGGGAGCAAACAGG